AAACAACAGGCCUUGUUAAAGAACCUGGGGGAGGCGGGGCUCUAUUCACUGAAUGUUAANUUAACAUUCAGUGAAUAGAGCCCCGCCUCCCCCAGGUUCUUUAACAAGGCCUGUUGUU
rnacentral:miRNA from 14 species